UGCAUGCUUUAAUGUACUUUACAACCUUUCUGCCUUGAUAAAGCUGCUCUGCACUCAGUUUUAUUUGAAUGUGGAUUUAUUCAAAGCAGAGCAGUUGAACUGUGCAUGCAGCAGGUGCAUGCAGACUUCUUUUUGUCCACAUUGGCACGUUGACAGUGACUGUAUACAAUAACGGGAUUUUCUAUGCUGUUAAACAGAACAAAAUCUCCAAAUAGGGUUUGAUGAUUCUGGGCUUGUGAAAGACAGUUUUGUGCACUAGAUUUGUUCCCAUGUAAACAUACUUUUUUUCUACCUGACUGUUUUCUCAUUUUCUCAUGUUGGAGAUUUUUGCAAAUGCUACUCUUUCAUUUUACUGUCUUUAAUGUCACUGUGUCCAGCUCUUUAUGUUCUGCAUUCAGGUAUUCCAUCUCAGGCACACAGGAUGACUGUGGUCUACAGUAUACUGCGGCUGAGAGAAACAGUACCAGCGCUUCAACUGUCCACCAUCUAGUUGUAAUGUUUUGCAUAGAUUAUUCACUGCCGUUGUAGUCUCCAAGGGCAGGCCACUGUGUGUAUGAAUGGCAUGUACAUUUGGUUAGCUGCUUCAAACAUGACAUUAAUAGUAGUGCAGCAAGAACCAGUACAUAACCACAUGCAACUGCAUUUAUUGUGCAAAAAUAAAUGAAAGCUGAUUAAAAAAAUUGUAAAUAGC